GCAACAGCUCAAAUUUGAAAUCUGGCGCAAGCCCGAGUUGUAAUUUGCAGAGGAUGUUUCGGGUGAAGCCACGGUCCAAGUCCCUUGGAACAGGACGUCAUAGAGGGUGAGAACCCCGUACCUGGCCGUCGGUGCCCCCCGCUGUGAAACUCCUUCGACGAGUCGAGUUGUUUGGGAAUGCAGCUCUAAAUUGGUGGUAAAUUCCAUCUAAAGCUAAAUACCGGCCAGAGACCGAUAGCGCACAAGUAGAGUGAUCGAAAGAUGAAAAGCACUUUGAAAAGAGAGUUAAAAAGUACGUGAAAUUGUUGAAAGGGAAGCGCUUGCGGCCAGACUUGCCCGCGGUUGCUCAGCCCGCCUUUUGGCGGGUGCACUCUUCCGCGGUCAGGCCAGCAUCGGUUUGGGCGGCCGGAUAAAGGCGCCGGGAACGUGGCCUCCCCUCGGGGAGGUGUUAUAGCCCGGCGCGCAAUGCGGCCAGCCCGGACCGAGGUUCGCGCUUUGCUAGGAUGCUGGCGUAAUGGCCGUAAGCGGCCCGUCUUGAAACACGGACCAAGGAGUCUAACAUCUAUGCGAGUGUUUGGGUGUCAAACCCGUGCGCGUAAUGAAAGUGAACGGAGGUGGGAACCGCAAGGUGCACCAUCGACCGAUCCUGAUGUCUUCGGAAGGAUUUGAGUAAGAGCAUAGCUGUUGGGACCCGAAAGAUGGUGAACUAUGCGUGAAUAGGGUGAAGCCAGAGGAAACUCUGGUGGAGGCUCGCAGCGGUUCUGACGUGCAAAUCGAUCGUCAA
rnacentral:rRNA from 1 species